GUUGAUGAGCCACCGCCGAAGAAGCAGAAACAACUAUCCAGUUUAACCCUAGAAUCACCAAAAAUAGAAAAAGAAGAAGAAGAAGAUUUGGCGAAAUUACCCUUGUCAACACCUGCAACCGCUAAGGGAAUGGCGUCGUCUGGUAGCAAGAAGAAGGCAAAAUCAAAAUCGAAGAAGAAAAACAACAAUAACAACCUUUGGACGAAAUCCAGUUCGAGAAAAGGGAAGAAGAAGAACAAGAACAACACUAGCAACCAAAAAAGCAAUGGAAAGAAAAAUGGAGUCGUUCCAGAACAGGAAGCAGAAGACAAAGUUUACAUUAUACCAAUUCCAAGGUUUCCAGACAAAAAUGAUGAUAGCCCAGAUGUAAAAAUCUGUCUUUCAAAGGUUUACAAAGCAGAAAAAGUUGAUGUAAGUGAAGA
rnacentral:misc_RNA from 1 species